rnacentral:lncRNA from 1 species
AACUAAAUAUUUAGAAAGACAUAUUGAUCAGGCCUUAAAAUAUCUUUUCCAGGGCCGUCUGACAAAAUGUCCGGUGAUGUUGAGUUUGGGUUGGACAUAUGUCCGAUGACCUUCAGUUCAGUUUUGACUCGGAAAUAAGUCUGAAUGACACAAAUGAAUAAACGGUAAAUGUUGUAAAGAUAUUAAAUAAUUUGUUUCUUUCAUACUUAUUUCCAGGCCAAAAUUAACUUGCUUGCCAGAACAGCAGUAUUAAAAAAGACUUCGACAACUUAAGCCCGUUUUCCACUUCACCAUUUCGCUCGCCGCCCCACACGCGACUACGUUAAAACAGCAAUUCCAGUUCACCUUUUAUACAAUGGUACUCUGAUUUCCAUUUAACAUACAAGCCUCUAGUCCUGGGUUAUAGGGUGCAUUUUGAUUUACGCCGGACAAAGCUACAGUUCGGUCGGACACCUGUUCACUUGGGUCGGACAAGCAAUAAACCUCAGUUUCACUUUGGUCGGACAGAAUGUCCGGUGGUUUUCUCUCUACGUCGGACAAUUUCACGAAUGGGUGGUCGGACAAUGUCCGUGACCGACCGAUAUUUUAAGGCCUGUUGAUGUAUUGAUGUACAAUUGUUUUAACAAAUAGGAACCAAACCUUGUUUAAUUAAAACAUCACACUGUCUGAUAAAUAUUUUUAGGGAAUGCAUAUGACCUGCCUUAGAACUUAGCUAUCUUGACAGCAAAGAAACUCAAUGUCAAUUAUUAAUAUUAGAAAAUACAUUCGUACAGAAACAAAGAGAUGGAUUUAAGCUAAAAUAUAUUCUGUAUUAUAAACAAUCGUGUUAUAUUAAAAUCUGAUAAAUAUGUACACUUUGUGAGUUUAUAAGUUAACUUUCUAAUAGCAUCAGUCACUAUAUUUAGUUUUUUCUUCGCGUGUAAAAGCCUCUGUCAUGAAUAUGCAAGCAACCUUUUCUACGUUUUCCAGGCAUGUAAGUUGUGAAUGUGGCAGAAAUCAUUUAGAAUUUGUCUAUAUGGUUGGCACUGAAAGCAGUGGCAGAUAUUUGAGGCAACUGGCUCCCUCCCUCCCACCAUUUUGUUAAAAUCUCAGUUGUGCUAGAAAUUUGCAACCAAUGGCAAUGAAUUGGAAUAUGUUCGGAAUAAUUCUCCACCACUUCUUGAAAGUUGUUCAAUAGUUCGAGAACAACGUCCAACAAUAUUCUUCAAAGGAUAUGAUUGCGUUCUUUAAUAAUCCUCGCUUCAGCACUGUUGCUCUUUCCUGAUCUGCUUUCCUUGCCGAGACCAACACGAGUUAGGUCCGGGUUGGAGUGCGUCUUUGUUUGUUGCCAACUAUAUUUACGACCUG